rnacentral:rRNA from 1 species
GAUGAACGCUGGCGGCGUGCCUAAUACAUGCAAGUCGAGCGAACAGACGAGGAGCUUGCUCCUCUGACGUUAGCGGCGGACGGGUGAGUAACACGUGGAUAACCUACCUAUAAGACUGGGAUAACUUCGGGAAACCGGAGCUAGUACCGGAUAAUAUAUUGAACCGCAAGGUUCAAUAGUGAAAGACGGUUUUGCUGUCACUUAUAGAUGGAUCCGCGCCGCAUUAGCUAGUUGGUAAGGUAACGGCUUACCAAGGCAACGAUGCGUAGCCGACCUGAGAGGGUGAUCGGCCACACUGGAACUGAGACACGGUCCAGACUCCUACGGGAGGCAGCAGUAGGGAAUCUUCCGCAAUGGGCGAAAGCCUGACGGAGCAACGCCGCGUGAGUGAUGAAGGUCUUCGGAUCGUAAAACUCUGUUAUUAGGGAAGAACAAAUGUGUAAGUAACUAUGCACGUCUUGACGGUACCUAAUCAGAAAGCCACGGCUAACUACGUG